UGUUUCUAAGGUGUUACAAUCACUUCCCCAACCCUAGAGAUAACCCAAGAGAAACCCUCUAACGCUCUAGCCUUCAUGUUGGAGAAAGAACCCUAAAAAUCACAUUUUUCCUCCCUCUUGCGGUUGAAAACAUAAAAUAGGGGAUAUAUAGAAUCCCGCUCCAAGCCUGGCGCAGAGGCCAUAGAGCAUCACCCAAACCUGCAUUUUCAUUGAGCCUGGCGCAGCAAGCAUCAAGCCUGGCUUGAUGUCCUGUAACAAUACCAAUUUUCUGUUUUCCUUGCACAAUUCAAAGGCAAUAACCAACAUGUCACUUACAUGCAUGAUAUCAACUUCUUUGUCUUUUUGCAUAUUCUAAAUAUUAAAGAAUAUAGUUAAAUAUAUGUUAUACCAAUGUGUAAAAAUUCUUGGCAAGAUAAAAUUUAUUUAAAUAUUUCUAAAACAUUCAAAAACAUCUCUUUAUCAAAAAUAUUAUAACAUCUUUACAAAUAUUGCACAAUAAUAUAUAACGCAUCAUUUCCAAUCAUUCAAUUCAAUACAUGUAAAAUAAACCUUGUUGAGCUUGUAAAAGUACACUUAAAAGUUUAAAUCCCACAAUUCUAGUAUUUUGGCAAAAACUCAAUCAUGAUGUUGCCUAUAGUAACCUCUCCUUUACCUACCUUAGGCACCAAGGUAACCACCAAAUCAUCAUCUACAUCAACUUCCAAAUUCUCUACCACUUUUGAUAUACCUACCUUAAAACUAGUGCUAGUUUUACCAUUAUGCCCAUGGUGCAAACUAACAAAACUUCCCACAAACUCUACUUGAUCAGGGUCACUCAAGUCAUCUUCAACAUCAUCAACAUGAANN
rnacentral:lncRNA from 1 species